UUGUAAUUGGAAUGAUGGGAAUUUAAACCUCUUCCAGAGUAUCUUCCUGGAGGGCAAGUCUGGUGCCAGCAGCCGCGGUAAUUCCAGCUCCCCUAGCGUAUAUUAAAAUUGUUGCAGUUAAAAAGCUCGUAGUUGAAUUUCUGCUGUAUUGCAUUUUCUCUUUUUAUAUGAGUUUUUGCAUUAUGGCUUAUUUCAGUAUUAAUUUUUUAUUAUUACUGAAUGUUUACUUUGAGAAAAUUAGAGUGCUCAAAGCAGGCUUUUGCCUUGAAUAGUUUAGCAUGGAAUAAUAAAGUAGGACUUUGGUUCUAUUUUGUUGGUUUUAGGUACCAAAGUAAUGGUUAAUAGGAACAGUUGGGGGCAUUCGUAUUUAACUGUCAGAAGGUGAAAUUCUUAGAU
rnacentral:rRNA from 1 species